AAUAAGUCUGCUUCCAAGAAUGCUUUCUAGUCAGACUGAAAUCUUGAAUCACGAGGAAGAGUGGCAUCUUCGUUCUCUAAGUUCAGAGUCCUUGUGUGGACUAUGUGGCUCUCCUAGUACUUAGAAGACUUAGGAGAAAUCUUUCUCAAUGCUGAGAGGCUGGUUCUAUUGGGAGACAGAGAGAAGGCAAAAGGAAACCAGGUUGAGCCACGAUGACUGUUUCCAGGGCAACAUGGAUUUCCAAGGUUUCUACUUUCUAAGAUUGUUCAUGCAUGGCUAAGAAAAGGAUACAGUGGGCAAGGCCAUGGCAGAAGAAUCUGGGAAAUGCAGAUGGGUUUCAUUGUACUGUAUCUGAGUUUCUGCAAGACCGCUUGAAAACCAGGGAUGAGCAUGCAGUCAUAUGCUGGCAAACGACACUAUAAUCAGCUUACAAAGAGGUUAAAGCAGAAGUCUGGAUGGGAAGACCUUUGGGCAGGGCACACAACCACAGACGGAUAACCAGAGGUGGGAUCUUUAUUUCACAAGUUUCAAGAUACAGUACAAAACGAAUCUGUACAUCUCUCUAUUAACAGGAUUUGUUUACACAAUUAUAAUACACUUCACCAGCCUUUAUACUGCAUUCCAUUAAAUACAAAAUAAAUUUACAAACGUCUACUAUGGUGUUCCUUCACAAUGCCAGCUUAUGCUCUUUAAAACCUCCCUCAAAAUUUAUUGUGGUCAUGCUUUGAUCAUGUCAACAUUGUUCUUUUAAAUAAAAGGGAAAUAGUGUCAGGUUGCUCGUCAAUAAAUAGUAAAGAUAGCGCAUCUGAACGGCUCCCUGCACAUAACCAAAGGACCCUUCUUAUGUAUACAAAAUCAGUUUUCUAAAUGUGUAAACAGUCUCGUUAAGAUACAAAUCAUUGGUAUAUGGGGUUAUUUCAAAUUUUCUUGAAAUCCCUAGUGGGUAGAGACACUUGGCUUCUUCUCAAAGAACAUUACCCAUUUAAAAACCAGACAACACAGCAUCCAGGAACAUUUCUUUCUCAGUAACUGAGGAGAAUAUAUUUUUUUGCAUAAAAUAGUUUUCUUUUGCUCUGAUUAUUUCCUGCACAACUCUGGCCAUAAUAUUUAGACUUUAGAGUCCCUGCCAAACAUCAGCUGUCUUGACAGGGAGUGGGCCACCAGAAGAGUCCUGCCAGUCCAAAUCCCUGCAGAGGAAGGUUGCGCACAUGGAAUUAGACAAUGGUGCACAUGCCACACACACGAAGAGCUGAGGUCCGUUUUUGGAAGCCUACAUGCCUGCUCCCAAGCACUAAAGAGCAAACAUGAGGAGCAGAGAAGGGAGGAAAAAAACCCAACCAACCAGUCGAACAAAACCAGAAUUCUAUGUCUAGAACAGCCAGUCAUGGGCUCAUUACCAGAUUCCUGAAGGAGGUCUCCAGUGCCUCUCAGGGUAGAGACAAGACAGGGGAGUGGAAAGAUGGCCAGAAAUUAAUCUUAUAUUUAGAAGAAUAACAAACCUUCAAGAAUAUCAAGAUUUAGGACUUGUAUUUUUACAUUAAUCUGGUUUAAGUGUUAAUAAA